UGUUGACUUUUAACAUCAAACUCUUCAGUCCAGCUGCACUCUAUUGAGUGUGAACGAUCUUACUCAAUAGUACCCAAACUGGUCAAGGUUCCUGUAAAGAGAAGACCAAACUUCAGGCAAGAAUAGAGUUUGGAGAUGGACUUGCUUACCCGUCUAAAGGAUGUGGAAUUGGAGAAUAAGUGAGCUAAUCUUGGAAGAAUUUUGCAGAAAAACAGGACAUUUCUCCAUGGAUCCAGAGGAAGUGGUAACUGAGGGUUUGAGCUCUAUAGGGAUCUGGCUUCUUCAUGGGUAUUCCUAGUGGAUGGCCUCAAGUCUACAAUAGAGACUGCUUGGCUGUCUGCAGUGGAAAAGACCUUCAAGUUGACUGUGAGUGGGUGCGACUCAUCAAGAAAAAUAACCUCACCACCACAACAACACAUGAUGGGAGAGACCGAAACUUCUUUGGGAGAACAUAAGGGGAAAAAAAAAAAGAAAAAGUGAAGUCUAAAUAUUAUUAAACACAUGAAAGCAGAGUCAUUUACUUAUUAGGAAGGCGCUCAUUCACACACAGGUAGACUUGUGGUCCCUUAGAAGUACGUAAACACAACC
ensembl:lincRNA Gm19585 predicted gene, 19585